GGCGAGAUGGCCGAGCGGUCUAAGGCGCCAGACUAAGGAGUACCACACAGUGCUGCGAUAUCUGGUCCGAAAGGGCGUGGGUUCGAAUCCCACUCUCGUCA
rfam:Trametes versicolor FP-101664 SS1 unplaced genomic scaffold TRAVEscaffold_9, whole genome shotgun sequence.